UGCACCUUCUCUCUCUCUCUGCGCAGCGCCUCUCCUUCACAGGAGAGGCGCUGCGCAGAGAGGGAAGGGAGAAGGCGCA